rnacentral:rRNA from 1 species
ACCUACGGGGGGCAGCAGUAGGGAAUCUUCCACAAUGGGCGAAAGCCUGAUGGAGCAACGCCGCGUGGGUGAAGAAGGUCUUCGGAUCGUAAAACCCUGUUGUUAGAGAAGAAAGGGUGUGAGAGUAACUGUUCACGUUUCGACGGUAUCUAACCAGAAAGCCACGGCUAACUACGUGCCAGCAGCCGCGGUAAUACGUAGGUGGCAAGCGUUAUCCGGAUUUAUUGGGCGUAAAGGGAACGCAGGCGGUCUUUUAAGACUGAUGUGAAAGCCUUCGGCUUAACCGGAGUAUUGCAUUGGAAACU